CCUACGGGUGGCUGCAGUGGGGAAUAUUGGGCAAUGGACGCAAGCCUGACCCAGCAACGCCGCGUGAAUGAUGAAGGCCUUCGGAUUGUAAACUUCUUUUCUCAGGGAAGAAGAAAGUGACGGUACCUUAGGAAUAAGCCACGGCUAACUACGUGCCAGCAGCCGCGGUAAUACGUAGGUGGCAAGCGUUAUCCGGAUUGAUUGGGCGUAAAGGGUGUGUAGGUGGUUUGACAAGUCAGAAGCGAAACCCCGGAGCUCAACCUCGGAACUACUACUAAAACUGUUGGACUUGAGUGCAGGAGAGGCAAUCGGAAUUCCGAGUGUAGCGGUGAAAUGCGUAGAUAUUAGGAGGAACACCAGUGGCGAAGGCGGAUUGCUAGACUGUAACUGACGCUGAGGCGCGAAAGCGUGGGGAGCAAACAGGAUUAGAUACCCCUGUAGUC
rnacentral:rRNA from 1 species